rnacentral:rRNA from 1 species
CACUUAAAGUAGCUCACAACACCUUGCUCAGCCACACCCCCACGGGAAACAGCAGUGAUAAAAAUUAAGCAAUAGAUGAAAGUCUGACUAAGUUAUAUUACUAAGGACUGGUAAAUCUCGUGCCAGCCACCGCGGUCAUACGAUUAGGCCAAACUAAUAGACAGUCGGCGUAAAGUGUGUUUUAGAGAACAAUCACAUAAUAAAGUCAAAUCUUAACUAGGCUGUAAAAAGCCCUAGCUAUUAUAAGAUAUACAGCGAAAGUGACUUUAGAGCUUCUGACUACACGAUAGCUAAGACCCAAACUGGGAUUAGAUACCCCACUAUGCUUAGCCCUAAACAUAAAAAAUUACUAACAAAAUUAUUCGCCAGAGAACUACCAGCAAAAGCUAGAAACUCAAAGGACUUGGCGGUGCCUUAUAUCCCUCUAGAGGAGCCUGUUCUAUAAUCGAUAAACCCCGAUAUACCUUACCAAUCCUUGCCAAAUCAGCCUAUAUACCGCCAUCUUCAGCAAACCCUAGUAAAGGAACUAUAGUAAGCAUAAAUAUUAACAUAAAAACGUUAGGUCAAGGUGUAGCCUAUGGAUUGGAAAGCAAUGGGCUACAUUUCCCAAAACGGGACAAUUACUACGAAAACUAGUGUGAAACCACUAGCCAAAGGAGGAUUUAGCAGUAAACUAAGAAUAGAGUGCUUAGUUGAAUAAGGCCAUGAGGCACGCACACACCGCCCGUCACCCUCCUCAAGCAAAAACAUUAUCUACUCCAUAAACCCAGA